UCAAGCAAGUAAGGGCAUACGGUGGAUGCCUUGGCGUUCAGCGACGACGAAGGACGCGGUAAGCUGCGAAAAGACAUGGGGAGCCGCAAGCAGGCAUAGAACCAUGUAUCUCCGAAUGGGGCAACCCGCUAUUUGAAGAAAUAGCAUCGUCAGAAGUGAAACCCGGCGAACUGAAACAUCUAAGUAACCGGAGGAAAAGAAAUCAACAGAGACUCCCUGAGUAGCGGCGAGCGAAACGGGAAGAGCCCAAACCAAAAGCCCUCGGGCUAUUGGGGUUGCGGACCUGCAAAAAAGGAAGACACGCAAGGGGAAACAGAUGGGAAACUGUGGCAAAGAGAGUGAAACCCUCGUACCCGAAAGCGCGUCCAAUGGGCAGGAAUCCAGAGUACCACGGGACACGAGGAAUCUUGUGGGAAGCAGGGUGGACCACCAUCCAAGGCUACAUACGACUGAACGACCGAUAGAGGACAGUACCGUGAGGGAAAGGUGAAAAGAACCGGGGGACCGGAGUGAAAAAGAACCUGAAACCGUAUGUCUACAAGCAGUCGAAGCUCCUUACGAGAGCGACGGCGUGCCUAUUGAAGAAUGAACCGGCGAGUUAAGGGUGCUGGCGAGGUUAAGCGGAAAACGCGGAGCCGAAGUGAAAGCGAGCCUAAAUAGGGCGUUAAGUCAGCGACUUUAGACCCGAAACCACAGUGAUCUAUGCGUGGUCAGGAAGAAGCUCAGGUAAAAAUGAGUGGAGGACCGAACCCGUGCGUGUUGAAAAACGUUGGGAUGAGAUGUGUAUAGGGGUGAAAUGCCAAUCGAACGUGGAGAUAGCUGGUUCUCCCCGAAAUAGCUUUAGGGCUAGCCUCAGGCGAAUCACCAUAGAGACGGUAGAGCACUGAUCGGGCAAGGGGGCGUAAAGCCUACCGACCCCAGUCAAACUACGAAUGGCUCAUAUGGGCAGCCUGGGAGUCAGCGUGCGAGUGAUAAGACCCGUACGCAAGAGGGAAACAGCCCAGACCGCCGGCUAAGGUCCCAAAUACUGUGCUAAGUGGAAAAGGAUGUAGGACUUCGAAAACAACCAGGAUGUUGGCUCAGAAGCAGCCACCAUUAAAAGAGUGCGUAAUAGCUCACUGGUCGAGAGGACCUGCGCCGAAGAUAUCCGGGGCUCAAGCACAGAACCGAAGCCGCGGCAAGGUGUUAGACACCUUGGGUAGGGGAGCGUACCAUAGGCGACGAAGGCUGACUGGAAAGACAACUGGAGCGUAUGGUAGUGAGAAUGCCGGUAUGAGUAGCGAAAAGGACGGUGAGAAUCCGUCCCACCGAAAGCCUAAGGUUUCCUGAGCAACGAUCGUCGGCUCAGGGUAAGUCGGGACCUAAGCCGAGGCAAAGAGCGUAGGCGAAGGACAACUGGCGAAAAAUCCAGUACCACUCUAAGUUGUUUGAGGAUGGAGUGACACAGGAGGGAACUUGAGCGCGCGAAUGGAAGAGCGCGUCGAACGCGGUAGGCUGGCAAAGAGGCAAAUCCCUUUGCUAAGGCCGAGAGCGGAUAGGGAAGUAAGCGAAAGCGAACGGAACUCAAGGGAACCACACUGUCGAGAAAAGCUUCUAACGAGACGAAGAGUGCCCGUACCGCAAACCGACACAGGUAGGCGGGGAGAGAAUCCUAAGGUGCGCGGGAAAACCCUCGUUAAGGAACUCGGCAAAAUGUAUCCGUAACUUCGGGAAAAGGAUAGCCGGAGCUAGUGAACUCUCAAGCAGAGGGAGCGAGAGCCGGUGGCACAAGAGAGGCCCAGGCGACUGUUUAGCACAAACACAGGUACUUGCGAAAGAGAAAUCUGAAGUAUAAGCGCUGACGCCUGCCCGGUGCUGGAAGGUUAAGGAAAGAGGUCAAGAGCAAUCUGAAGCUUCGAACUGAAGCCCCAGUGAACGGCGGCCGUAACUAUAACGGUCCUAAGGUAGCGAAAUUCCUUGUCGGGUAAGUUCCGACCCGCAUGAAAGGCGUAACGACCUGGGCACUGUCUCAACGAGGGACCCGGUGAAAUUGAAAUACCUGUGAAGAUGCAGGUUACCCGCGACUGGACAGAAAGACCCCAUGGAGCUUUACUGCAGCCUGGCAUUGAUUUUUGGGAAAGGAUGUACAGGAUAGGUGGGAGACUGGGAAAGUGAGACGCAAGUCACACUGGAGUCAAUGUUGGGAUACCACCCUUCCUUUUCUAAGGACCUAACCGAAGGGGUAACGACCCUCGAGACAGUGCCAGGGGGACAGUUUGACUGGGGCGGUCGCCUCCGAAAGAGCAACGGAGGCGUCCCAAGGUUCCCUCAGCGCGGCCGGAAAUCGCGCGAAGAGUAUAAAGGCAGAAGGGAGCUUGACUGCGAGACGGACAGGUCGAGCAGGGACGAAAGUCGGGCUUAGUGAUCCGGUGGUAGAGAGUGGAAUUGCCAUCGCUCAACGGAUAAAAGCUACCCUGGGGAUAACAGGCUAAUCUCUCCCAAGAGUCCAUAUCGACGGGGAGGUUUGGCACCUCGAUGUCGGCUCAUCACAUCCUGGGGCUGAAGCAGGUCCCAAGGGUUGGGCUGUUCGCCCAUUAAAGUGGUACGUGAGCUGGGUUCAGAACGUCGUGAGACAGUUCGGUCCAUAUCCAUCGCGGGCGCAAGAAACAUGAAGGGAUCUGCUCUUAGUACGAGAGGACCGGAGUGGACGGACCGACGGUGUACCGGUUAUGGCGCCAGCCGUAGAGCCGGGUAGCUGCGUCCGGAAGGGAUAAACGCUGAAAGCAUCUAAGCGUGAAACCCACCCUGAGAUGAAGUUUCUCAUGUGAAAGCAGUAAGGCCCCUCGAAGACGACGAGGUAGAUAGGCUGGGAGUGGAAGCCCUGCAAGGGGUGGAGCGGACCAGUACUAAUUGGCCGAGGGCUUGACUUA
rnacentral:rRNA from 1 species